AGUGAACGCUGGCGGUAGGCCUAACACAUGCAAGUCGAACGGCAGCACAGUAAGAGCUUGCUCUUACGGGUGGCGAGUGGCGGACGGGUGAGGAAUACAUCGGAAUCUACUUUUUCGUGGGGGAUAACGUAGGGAAACUUACGCUAAUACCGCAUAUGACCUACGGGUGAAAGCAGGGGAUCUUCGGACCUUGCGCGAUUGAAUGAGCCGAUGUCGGAUUAGCUAGUUGGCGGGGUAAAGGCCCACCAAGGCGACGAUCCGUAGCUGGUCUGAGAGGAUGAUCAGCCACACUGGAACUGAGACACGGUACAGACUCCUACGGGAGGCAGCAGUGGGGAAUAUUGGACAAUGGGCGCAAGCCUGAUCCAGCCAUACCGCGUGGGUGAAGAAGGCCUUCGGGUUGGAAAGCCCUUUUGUUGGGAAAGAAAAGCAGCAGGUUAAUACCCCGCUGUUCUGACGGUAACCAAAGAAUAAGCACCGGCUAACUUCGUG
rnacentral:rRNA from 1 species